rnacentral:rRNA from 1 species
AAAUUGAAGAGUUUGAUCAUGGCUCAGAUUGAACGCUGGCGGCAGGCCUAACACAUGCAAGUCGAACGGUAACAGGAAGCAGCUUGCUGCUUUGCUGACGAGUGGCGGACGGGUGAGUAAUGUCUGGGAAACUGCCUGAUGGAGGGGGAUAACUACUGGAAACGGUGGCUAAUACCGCAUAACGUCGCAAGACCAAAGAGGGGGACCUUCGGGCCUCUUGCCAUCAGAUGUGCCCAGAUGGGAUUAGCUUGUUGGUGAGGUAACGGCUCACCAAGGCGACGAUCCCUAGCUGGUCUGAGAGGAUGACCAGCCACACUGGAACUGAGACACGGUUCAGACUCCUACGGGAGGCAGCAGUGGGGAAUAUUGCA